UGGCCAUAUCACAUUGAAACAUUGGUUCUCAUCUGAUUACUGAAGUUAAGCAAUGUUGAGCCUGGUCAGUACCUAGAUAUAUGACUGUUUGGGAUGAACAGGUGCUGUAAG